rnacentral:rRNA from 1 species
GACGAACGCUGGCGGCGUGCCUAAUACAUGCAAGUAGAACGCGGUUGCGAACGGGUGAGUAACGCGUAGGGAACUGCCUCAUAGCGGGGGAUAACUAGGGGAAACGAGAGCUAAUACCGCAUACUGUGCGAUAGACCUGCGUUGUAUUAGCUAGUUGGUGAGGUAAAGGCUAACCAAGGCGACGAUACAAAGCCGACCUGAGAGGGUGAUCGGCCAAACUGGGCAUGAGACACGGCACAGACUCCGACGGGAGGUAGCAGUAGGGAAUUUUCGGAAAUUGACGGAACUCUGACCGAGCAAAGCCGCGUGAGUGAAGAAGGUUUUCGGAGCGUAAAGCUCUUUUGUUAGGGAAGCGGUAACUGACCAGAAAGGGACGGCUAACUACGUGCCAGCAGCCGCGGUAAUUC